rnacentral:rRNA from 1 species
GACGAACGCUGGCGGCGUGCCUAAUACAUGCAAGUCGAACGCAGUGGGGACGGGUGAGUAACACGUGGGUAACCUCCCAUCAGAGGGGAUAACACUUGGAAACAGGUGCUAAACCGAUACUGAUGGAUGGACCCGCGGUGCAUUAGCUAGUUGGUGAGGUAACGGCUCACCAAGGCCACGAUGCAUAGCGGACCGGAGAGGGGGAGCGGCAACACGGGGACUGAGACAGGGCCAGGACUACUCCGGAGGGCAGCAGUGGGGAAUCUUCGGCAAUGGACGAAAGUUUGACCGAGAAACGCCGGGGGAGUAAAGAAGGUUUCCGGAUCGUAAAACUCGGUUGUUAGGGAAGCGUUAUCUAACCAGAAAGCCAGGGCUAAUUCCGUGCCAGCAGCCGCGUAAUAC